GGUGCCACUUCCCCUCUCCACAGCCGUGCGGUGCCCAGCUUAGCUCACGUUCACAGUUCUUUCAGCAGAUGUAGCCGUGGACAGCAGCCUGGUUACAGUGGGAUGUGCAGCUGGCCGACCCCCUCUAGCCAUCCUGCAAGUCACUGUGAACGCCCUCACGCUCCAACAGCAAAGCCACUGCUCAGAAAGAGGCUGGGCUCCUGCACACCUGCCAGCGAUGGCUACCCGUGUCCAUCCUGUUCACUGAAGGGGAGCGGCUCCUGGAGGGUGAAGCCGCUGUGGUUUGAGGGUGAAGCCACUGUCGUUUGAGCCCUCGGCCCGGACGCAGCUGAUGCACCAGCCACAGAAGCACGGAGGAGUCAAGAAUGGGAAGGACAGAAACGGUUCCUGACCUCGGGAGCUGGAGGUUGAGUGGGUUGGUCUAAAAACCAACUGAAUAGUAAAUGGGAACAGCCAUCGCUGGGUUUUUCCCAUAGAAGGAUGAAGACCGCUCUGACGGUGUGGCGCUCCCUCUAGUGGCUGAGAGUCGCUAACUCACCGGCGAGGCUUCCCAAGGCCGGAGGGCGGCUUCUCAAAAGUUUGUUCCAGAGAUGCCUCGUCACCCCUAACACCCUAGUAUACAAUCCAGGAGGCGAAAACUAUUUUGAUCAUACGGAUGAGACCGUGGCUGUAUUAAGAAUGUGUGUGUAAUCCACAGCGGUAUAACGAAAUUUGGAAUAUCUGCGUGACUCCAAACUACUAUUUUCCAAAUGACCGAUGCAUGAUGUUACAAAAUCACAAAUGGUAAAAGAUCCCUUCAAAGUGCAAGAGGGAUGAAGAUAUUUUAAUGUAACAGUGUGCAAAGUUCACUAGUGCAAUCUCAGAUUCCAGAUUGCGACGAAUCUUUAAGAAAUUAGAUUUUUAGUGUAGUGAAAAAGGCUAUUCACAAUUAUCUAGAAAGACUACUAAAAUUAUUCUCUCUUCUUCAACUACACAGCUGCUUGACACAGGUUUUCUUCAUGUAUUUCGAUCCAAAAUGGAAUCACAGCAGAUUAAAUGCAAAAGUACCUAUCCAGCCAUCUUAUCUGAAGCCAGACAUUAAAGAGAUUUGCAAAAAAUA
rnacentral:lncRNA from 1 species